AUGAUCUCAUUCUUUCUCUUUUUCCAAUUAUCCUACAGAAUUCUCCAUAGCUUACCAGAGGACCACCCUGAUGAAAAUCCUUCAAUGAGAAGGCAAAGCUGCAUAAGGAAAAAGCUUUUGACCUUGGUCCUUCACACUGUCAUCUUACUCCAGACUGCAAAAAGACAGAAGUCUCUACUUACCACUGCUUUAUUGCAAUGUGACUCAACAAGACCCAGGGUGAAGAACUAGACAUUGAGACUGGAAGCAAUGGAAUCCUGAAAAGGGAUUAUGUUAUGCUUGCCUCUUACUUUCUCUACUGUCCUACAACUUAAUAUGAAGGCAUGCUGGAUGCCCACAGGAUAGAGAUGUCCCUCAGGCUGCAGCAAACAGGGAAAGAAAAAGAAGAGGAGUGCCGUCGACUAAAAUCCAUUAAGAAUGUACUAAAAAAAUUAAAAUGAGAAAUGCUGUCAGCAAGAAUUGCCUAAGAUUCACAAGGACAUUAGAGAAACAAGUGUCAACUGCAAUGUGCAAUCCUUGAUUGCACCCUAAUUGGAACCCAAGAAUUGGAGAAAUCUGAAAGUAGAAAAGAAAUUAGAUAAUCUCAAUAAAUCCCCUUCGUCAUUUUUAUUAGUGUGGUCA
rnacentral:lncRNA from 1 species